AUGACCUACCUGGGUUUGCCGCUGACGCUAGCCAGGCUGCGACUCGCGAACCUGCAGUUCAUCAUAGAUAGGAUCAAAGCCCGUCUAGCGGGAUGGAAAGGGAAGCUUCUGCCUUUGGCUAGUCGACGUGUGCUGGUUCGAUGCAUCCUCAGCGCAAUGCCCACGUUUGCACUGACUGUCCUUCGAGUGCCGAAGAAACUUCUAAAAGAGAUAGACAAGUGCGGGCGCAGAUUUUUAUGGAAGCAAGAUGAGGAGAUCAUAGGUGGGAGCUGCAAGGUUAACUGGACAACGGUGUGCGCUCCCAUGUCACAUGGAGGACUGGGCAUCCUCGACCUCGAGCGGUUCAGCCGCGCCCUUAGAUUGCGGUGGCUCUGGACAUCCUGGACCGAUCCGAAGCGAUCUUGGGUCGGUACGGAGCCACCGUGCAGCAACACAGACAAAGCCCUUUUCACGGCAGUGACCACGGUCACCAUCGGCGACGGCGAAACAGCUCUCUUCUGCCACUCCUCCUGGAUCGGGUCGAACAACCUAGCUAGCUCCUACCCCCUCCUCUACUCGCACUCCAGGCGGAAAAACAGGACGGUGCAUGAGGCGCUUCCGGGCGAAACUUGGAUAAAAGACCUGCGACACAGGAAUCUACAGCCACUGCUGCCGGAAUUUAUCAGGCUACACCGCACGAUCUCGUCGACUGGGCUAACUGGGCUAACUGACGGGAGCAGGGACAAGAUUAGAUGGACCCUAGAGGCGAGCGGCCAAUACUCGGCAAGCUCGGCUUACGCCGUGCAAUUUCAGGGAAGAGUCCAUGUUGAUUGGCAGAAGUUGAUCUGGGAAGCAAAGGUGCCGGGGUGCAUUAAGAUUUUCAACUGGCUCCUCCUGCAGAACUGA
rnacentral:rRNA from 1 species